UCUCCGAGAUGUUGAGUUGGACGCCGCCAGUCUGUGCAAGACCUGGGAGCCAGCACAACCGAGGCUUGCAUCCCACUUAUGCCACCAAAUAGGAUUUUGGGAGAUUAUUUUGGAAGCGAAGCUCACCAAAUUUGCUGUGGACUGGAAACUCAGGAGUAGGCUCCUUACCUCCAGGAAGCUUCUGGAUCUGAACUGCAGGGUUGUGAGGGGCUCAUCUGCCCAGCCGUAGAAGAUGGAUAAUGACAAACAGAUAUAACUGGCGCUUCCUUUCUCGUCUUCCUCCUGCCUGGAGCUCACACACGUGCUUGGACC